UUGUGUGGCGAGGGAGGGGCUUACCUGAGUGAGACUUGAUUUCUCUCCUCUUCUUCUUCCUCUUCACCUUCACAUCACUAUGUGCUUCUCUCUCUCUCCUUUUUCUCUUCUUCCAAAAAGAGUUUAUACCAAUCUCUCGUCUCCGCAAUUUCGGAGGCUGUAUACUUUAAAAAUUCUUUGUUCGAAUCAAUCGAAUGGUGGAUUGAUUUAGUGGGAUUACUUUGCCUCAUUAGCAAUGACUUCUGCUGCUUCCAUGUCUGUGUGAACGUAUGUAAUCUAACCAAAGGAGACGGGAAUGCAAGAAGCGAUUGCAAUGCUCUCUCCUGUGCUUGGAAAGCUCCAAGAACGUUAACUGGGUUUCUAGCUAGCACUGCUCAUCCACCUGUUUGUUCUUUGUAUUCAUGCGGCAGAAAUGGAAGAACGAGCAGAAUGAAAUCAUCUUGCGCCUGGCAGAGGUAUCAAUAUGAAGUCCAAAUCAUCUUGUGGAAGUCAUAAAAGAUGGGAACUGUAUUGCAUAUCAGCUGAAUCUUCUGGUGCAUCCGAUGAUGUGAUAGUGGAUUAGUCGAAUCCACGAAAGAGAGAGCAAGUGAGGAAGAAUCAAGAAAAGGCAGAUAUCAAUUUUCAUUUCAUUUUUUAUAUCCUUUUGAGACAAUAGAAAGAAAGACAAAAUUUCUUAGAAAGUGUUGACAGUUGAAUAACUUGAAUGAUAUAUCAAAGAUUUAAGAGACUAGAGAUGUCGUUAUUGUUGGCAAUUAUGAAUAUUAUGUGUGAACUUAAAUUUUA